rnacentral:rRNA from 1 species
GAUGAACGCUGGCGGCGUGCCUAAUACAUGCAAGUCGAGCGGUAGGGCCACUUCGGUGGUACACGAGCGGCGGACGGCUGAGUAACACGUAGGAACGUACCCCAAACUGAGGGAUAAGCACCGGAAACGGUGUCUAAUACCGCAUGUGCUCUUCGGAGUAAAGCUACGGCGGUUUGGGAACGGCCUGCGCAUGAUUAGCUAGUUGGUGAGGUAAUGGCUCACCAAGGCGACGAUCAUUAGCUGGUCUGAGAGGAUGAUCAGCCAGACUGGGACUGAGAACGGCCCAGACUCCUACGGGGGGCAGCAGUAGGGAAUUUUCCACAAUGGGGGCAACCCUGAUGGAGCAACGCCGCGUGCAGGAUGAAGGCUUUCGGGUCGUAAACUGCUUUUAUCUGUGAAGAUUAUGACGGUAGCAGAUGAAUAAGGAUCGGCUAACUCCGUGCCAGCCGCCGCAGUAA